rnacentral:rRNA from 1 species
AGCGAACGCUAGCGGCAGGCUUAACACAUGCAAGUCGAGCGCCAGGUUUCGGCCUGGAGCGGCGAACGGGUGAGUAACACGUAGGUCACGUACCCUAUGGUGGGGAAUACCCCGGGGAAACUCGGAUCAAUGCCCCAUAUGUCCGAAAGGAUGAAAGCGCUUCGGCGCGCCAGAGGAUCGGCCUGCGGCCCAUUAUUUAAUCCUAGUUGGUGAGGUAACGGCUCACCAAGGGUACGAUGGGUAGCUGGUCUGAGAGGACGAUCAGCCACACUGGAACUGAGACACGGUCCAGACUCCUACGGGAGGCAGCAGUGGGGAAUAUUGGACAAUGGGCGAAAGCCUGAUCCAGCCAUGCCGCGUGAGUGAUGAAGGCCUUUGGGUUGUAAAGCUCUGUCGUGGGGGAAGAAGUUCUGACGGUACCCCACAAGAAAGCACCGGCUAACUCCGUGCCAGCCGCCGCCGUAA